rnacentral:misc_RNA from 1 species
AACCAUAGAAACCUGCGGAGUACCUGCGGAGGGAUCAUUACAGAGUUGCAAAACUCCCACAAACCAUCGCGAAUCUUACCCGUACGGUUGCCUCGGCGCUGGCGGUCCGGAAGGCCCUCGGGCCCCCGGACCCUCGGGUCCCCCGCUCGCGGGGGGCUGCCCGCCGGAGUGCCGAAACCAAACUCUUGAUAUUUUAUGUCUCUCUGAGUAAACUUUUAAAUAAGUCAAAACUUUCAACAA